CCUGGGGGUGCAGGCAGGCGUGUGCUACCUUGAUCACAUAGUCCAGCUUCCUGGGCUGCUCCUCCACUUUGGCUGCCAGGAACAGCGCUGCCGGAGCCACCGAAUUGCGGUGGAACUGAGUGAAGGACUGCACCAUGUAGAAGCGAUGCAUGUACACGAUGGCGGUGUUGAUGGUGAGCUGGGAGACGUUGAGGCGCUGCCCCAUGUCCUGCAGCAGGUUGGCGGCCUGCUGCCGGUACGAGAGCUCCUUGUCGGGAUCCAGGCCGGCUCGCCGCGAGGGGCUGCGGUCCAACUGCUCGCGGGUGAAAUACCACCGCCGCGCCGCCCCGCCGCCCGCCGAGGCCUCCAUGGCGAUCCGCGCCCGCGCGCG
rnacentral:lncRNA from 1 species